GGACAGUACUUCCAAGAUGCUGGAUGUGUACUACUAACAUGACAGAAGAUCAUCCACUUUUUCCUGCUGGGCUAGGUUUCUCCUAACAUUAUAUCAGACUGCUGUCCAGAACACCAACAUUCUGAACGUGAGUUGGUUUUCCACAGUCACGUGGUCAAGAGUGAAACAGAGGUAGACAUCUGUCGGAGAAGCCAAACAAAACGAAAUGGGAAAAGAAUCCGAUGGAAGAUUUUGAUCAAAACUUAGUGGCUGUGGAGAUCCUUCUCAUCCUAGUGCAUUUCCUAGCCUAUUCAUGUAGUUCUGUAUUUCUGUAGCAUCAGCAAUUUACAAGCAAGUGGUAACACAUGGUGAUGAAUCAGCUGAAUAUGAUGAGUUCAGGAAAGACACUCUGGAUCUGGGGCACUUCAGUUUUGUCCACCUUUUAGAAAUGUGGGGCUGUGUUUAGCUUGGCUAAGUCAAAGAAAUCUGUGAUGAGACACAACUCGAUCUGCUUAAAAGUAGCUGUAGAAAAGAGGCUGGUUUGACAAUAAGGGU